rnacentral:rRNA from 1 species
AACGAACGCUGGCGGCAGGCCUAACACAUGCAAGUCGAGCGAAGCCUUCGGGCUUAGCGGCGGACGGGUGAGUAACGCGUGGGAACGUGCCCUUUGGUACGGAAUAGCCCCGGGAAACUGGGAGUAAUACCGUAUGGGGUCGAGAGACGAAAGAUUUAUCGCCAAAGGAUCGGCCCGCGUUGGAUUAGGUAGUUGGUGGGGUAAUGGCCCACCAAGCCGACGAUCCAUAGCUGGUUUGAGAGGAUGAUCAGCCACACUGGGACUGUGACACGGCCCAGACUCCUACGGGAGGCAGCAGUGGGGAAUCUUAGACAAUGGGGGAAACCCUGAUCUAGCCAUGCCGCGUGAUCGAUGAAGGCCUUAGGGUUGUAAAGAUCUUUCAGUGGGAAGAUAAUGACUGUACCCACAGAAGAAGCCCCGGCUAACUCCGUGCCAGCCGCCGCCGUAACAC